rnacentral:lncRNA from 1 species
GUGGUAAACCAAUUAAUGUGGGUUUUGUUGGUACAGGUCAAUAACAAAUUCAAAUGUUCAACCAAUAACAAAUUUUCUAUAAGCUUGGUAUUCAGAGUUUGGCAAAACCAUGAAAAAAAAUAUCCUCGGAAAUGCAAGUGUUCCUCAAUUGACGAAAAUUGAUAACCACAAAAUAAAUGAGUCCACAGUAUCUAGAACUAAAUAAACUCAUCAUAUUUACCAGGACUAAAUUUUAUAUAUAUGCCAGACGUGCGAAAAGACUCAUCAGUGACGCUCGAAUCCAAAAAAGUUAAAAAGGCCAAAUAAAGUACGAAGUUGAGGAGCAUUGAGGACCAAAUUUCCUAAAAGUUUUCCAAAUACCGCUAAGGUAAUCUAUGCCUAAGGUAGAAAAUCCUUAGUAUUUCAAAAAAUUCAAAAUUUUAUAAACAGUUAAAAAAGACCAACUUUAGUC